CCCUUUCUGGAGGUGGAUGUCCCAUCUCUGGAGAAUUCAGGAUUCAGUCACCCUGUUCAUUAUUAUGGAAGAGUGUAGCUGCCUUUGCUGCUGUUGGAAUCUGCUGUUCAGAGGCAGAUAAUGCCUUUCCCUAACAGGACGUUUGACUGAGUGGGGAGCAAAGAAUAAAGCACAAAAUUUAAGUCCAAAUGGAUCAAAGAUCUCAACAUAAAUCUACAACCACACUGAACCUCUUAGAAGAGAAAGUGGGAAGUACCCAUGAACAAAGUGGGAUAAGAGGUCCUGACCCUUUCUGCGUUGUUCCUAUAGAACAUGCAAUUAUCCCAUAUUACUCAACUGGUGAACAAACGUGUCCAGAGACCUUCUUGGAGGUGGAGCCUACAAAACCCCAAUGUGCAUCUUCUAAAACUGCUAACAGUGCAACUUCACCAAGGGACCAGCGAGAUCCACCAGUGAGGAAGGUGAAGGUGGUGUCUACAAAAAGCACAUUUGUGUCCAUAAUGGGGAGAAAAGUCUGUCGGAAUUACACUUUUGUUCCUCGGUUCACUGAAGAAUAUCAAGUCCGAGCUGGUACUUCCAAAGAAAGAGCAGAAAGUGAAAUGGAAGUGGCCCCUGACCCUGCUAACAGUGAAACUUCACCAAGGGACCAGCGAAAGCCACCAGUGAGGAUGGUGAAGGUGGUAUCUAAAAAACACAGAUCUGUGUCCAAAAUCUGGAGGAAACUCUCUCAGAAUAGUGCUGUUUUUCCUCGGGACACAGAAGAACCUCAAGUCCAAGCUGGUACUUCCAAACAAACUCCACAAAGUGAAAUGGAAGUGUCUCCUGAACCUGCUAACAGUGAAGCUUCACCAAGGGUUCAGCGAAAGCCUCCAUUGAGGAUGGUGAAGGUGUCUUCUAGAAAAUGCAUGUAUGGCUCACAUUCAUUGAGACAAAUGUGUUGGAGGUGCCCUGUUGUUCGCAAAUUUUCUAAACAACCUGAAAUCCAAGCUUCAGCUUUCAUAGAGGGACCACAAAGUGAAAUGGAAGUGUACCCUGAACAUUCUAACAGCAUAGCUUCACCAGUGGGCCAGCAAAAUCCACAAGGAAGGAUGGAGAAGAUGAUAUAUAAAAAACGCAGAUGUGUUUCUGCCGUCUUAAAGGAAAUUUAUCAAAAGCAACAUAUGGUCCCCCUUAAUGAGGACAAACCUCAAGACAUCACUGGUACCUCCAGAGAAAAACCACAAGUAAAAACAGAAGUGGAACAUAAAAAUGCUGACAUGGCACCUUCACCAGGGGAACAGAGAGAGCCACCAGCGAUGAUGGCGAAGGUGGAGUCUAGAAAACACAUUCGCAUUCCUGCAUUCUUAAGAGGAAGUUUUUGGAAGAAAGCUGUUGCCCCUCAGGGAUCUCCCAUCUCUGAAGCUCCUUCUGCAGAAACAACACAAAAGAAAAUGGAAGAAGUACCUGAACACGGUGACAAUGUGUCUUCACCAAAGGACCAGAAAACACCAGUGCAGGCGAUGAAGGUGGAGUGUAGAAAACUCACAGGAAUAUCUUGUAUAAAUGGUGACCAUCAAUAGCUGGAGGCCGAUAAAUAUUAACCAAUGACUAGAAUGACCCCGGGAUCCCAGAACCUACUACUUCCAGAACAUGGACUCCAGGACAGUGGCUUUGUCACAUCUAAGACCUCUGAAAUUGGAGUCAAGGCAUCUCCCAAGCCUUCCAGGAAGAACUCACCUGCUUCAUCUGCUUGGGCUGCCUCACAGGCCCAGUCACCAUAAGCUGUGACCCAGCUUCUGUGGGCCUCCACCUUCACUGGAAACACAUCCAAGUUCCUGUCCAUUGCCCUACGUUUAGGACACCAUGCCAAGAAAAGGACUUCAGAACCAACAUCGUUCUGAAGAAGCUGGUGUCCUUUGCCUUGCUAGACAAGCCAUCCUCUUGAAGUCCCUGGGCUCCAAGGAGCACUACUGUGUGGCCCAGAAGAAGACCAAAAGGAUCUUCUGUGUGGAGAACAGGAUCUACCUCUAUGGACUCUGCUCUCCCCUUAGCACAGUGCCAUUGGAGCAGCUGCUGAGGAUCAAAUGGAGAGACUUCUAAAACAAAUAGCAUCUCUAUGUGAGAAGAUCCAAGAAAAUUAGGAGAAACUAGAGGCAGAGAAUAUAAUGACAACUUGGUACAGAAACUACUUGACUCUGCAGAAAAAAUAAAUGAUCAGAACAGAAUACAGGCCAUGGCACUCAGUUCCCUGGGAAGAGGACAAGCAGCAUAUUGAGUGUGUGACACAUGAAGGUCAGUGUGUGGUAGAGAGACUCAGGGAAGUGAAGCCAUGAUGGUCCAAACAACAAUCGACUAAGAGAAAUGCUCAGAGCUGAUGGCAGUGUCCCGAAACGAUCCUUGGGAUGGCUGCAGGUGAGCAUGGAGGAGUGCAGGAAAUUUUUUAUUGUCUGGACCUACCCUGAUGAUUGUUGUACUGAGAUAGCUUUCAGUAUUUCCUGCUUUCAUAUUAGGGGCUUUCCUUCUCAGGAAUAAUCUGGAGGAGCUCGAGUUUGUAAUGAUCUUGAAAUUAUAAUUUCUCAAGGUUUAUGUCCUAACUUUAUGCUUUUGUAGUGUUCUCUGAAAUUGGGAAUUCAGUGGUUGUUGUUUCCAGCACUCCAUUACCUCUAAUGGAUAUUGAGCACAAUUUGAAAGAAAGCUAUUCCUUGAUUUCUUCUGUCUGAAAGCUGUCUUUUUGAGAGUUCAUUAGGAGGUUGGGAUUUUGGGCCAGAGUUCUAUUGGGUAGUACAUGGUAGCCUCCAACUAACAAUAAUCCU